AGUGAACGCUGGCGGUAGGCCUAACACAUGCAAGUCGAACGGCAGCACAGUAAGAGCUUGCUCUUACGGGUGGCGAGUGGCGGACGGGUGAGGAAUACAUCGGAAUCUACUUUUUCGUGGGGGAUAACGUAGGGAAACUUACGCUAAUAUCGCAUACGACCUACGGGUGAAAGCAGGGGAUCUUCGGACCUUGCGCGAUUGAAUGAGCCGAUGUCGGAUUAGCUAGUUGGCGGGGUAAAGGCCCACCAAGGCGACGAUCCGUAGCUGGUCUGAGAGGAUGAUCAGCCACACUGGAACUGAGACACGGUCCAGACUCCUACGGGAGGCAGCAGUGGGGAAUAUUGGACAAUGGGCGCAAGCCUGAUCCAACCAUACCGCGUGGGUGAAGAAGGCCUUCGGGUUGUAAAGCCCUUUUGUUGGGAAAGAAAAGCAGCAGGUUAAUACCCCGCUGUUCUGACGGUACCCAAAGAAUAAGCACCGGCUAACUUCGUG
rnacentral:rRNA from 1 species